GGGAACGUGGUACGAGCGACGCGGGGAAUAGUAAGGGUGCAAGGGUUAACUGGGAUGACUGGGCGUAAAGGGUGCGUGGGGGGUUCUUUAAGUCUGCUGUGAAAUCCCCGGGCUACACCUGGGAAUGGGAGUUGAUACUGGAGAGCUAGAGUGUGAUAGAGGAUGGUGGAAUUCCCGGUGUAGCGAUGAAAUGCGUAGAGAUCGGGAGGAACAUCAGUGGCGAAGGCGGCCAUCUGGAUCAACACUGACGCUGAGGCACGAAAGCGUGGGGAGCAAACAGGAUUAGAUACCCGUGUAGUC
rnacentral:rRNA from 1 species